rnacentral:rRNA from 1 species
GAUGAACGCUGGCGGCGUGCCUAAUACAUGCAAGUCGAGCGAACAGACGAGGAGCUUGCUCCUCUGACGUUAGCGGCGGACGGGUGAGUAACACGUGGAUAACCUACCUAUAAGACUGGGAUAACUUCGGGAAACCGGAGCUAAUACCGGAGAAUAUAUUGAACCGCAUGGUUCAAUAGUGAAAGACGGUUUUGCUGUCACUUAUCGAUGGAUCCGCGCCGCAUUAGCUAGUUGGUAAGUUAACGGCUUACCAAGGCAACGAUGCGUAGCCGACCUGAGGGGGUGAUAGGCCACACUGGAACUGAGACACGGUCCAGACUCCUACGGGAGGCAGCAGUAGGGAAUCUUCCGCAAAGGGCGAAAGCCUUACGGAGCAACGCCGCGUGAGUGAUGAAGGUCUUCGGAUCGUAAAACUCUGUUAUUAGGGAAGAACAAAUGUGUAAGUAACUAUGCACGUCUUGACGGUAACUAAUCAGAAAGCCACGGCUAACUACGUG